CUAAUACCGCAUAACAGCGUUGUUCGCAUGAACAACGCUUAAAAGAUGGCUUCUCGCUAUCACUUCUGGAUGGACCUGCGGUGCAUUAGCUUGUUGGUGGGGUAACGGCCUACCAAGGCGAUGAUGCAUAGCCGAGUUGAGAGACUGAUCGGCCACAAUGGGACUGAGACACGGCCCAUACUCCUACGGGAGGCAGCAGUAGGGAAUCUUCCACAAUGGGCGCAAGCCUGAUGGAGCAACACCGCGUGAGUGAAGAAGGGUUUCGGCUCGUAAAGCUCUGUUGUUAAAGAAGAACACGUAUGAGAGUAACUGUUCAUACGUUGACGGUAUUUAACCAGAAAGUCACGGCUAACUACGUGCCAGCAGCCGCGGUAAUACGUAGGUGGCAAGCGUUAUCCGGAUUUAUUGGGCGUAAAGAGAGUGCAGGCGGUUUUCUAAGUCUGAUGUGAAAGCCUUCGGCUUAACCGGAGAAGUGCAUCGGCAACUGGAUAACUUGAGUGCAGAAGAGGGUAGUGGAACUCCAUGUGUAGCGGUGGAAUGCGUAGAUAUAUGGAAGAACACCAGUGGCGAAGGCGGCUACCUGGUCUGCAACUGACGCUGAGACUCGAAAGCAUGGGUAGCGAAC
rnacentral:rRNA from 1 species